rnacentral:piRNA from 1 species
UUCUCAUGUUGGUUCACCUGUGGGGA